UGGGGAAUUUUGCACAAUGGGGGAAACUCUGAUGCAGCGUCGCCGCGUGAUUUAGAAGGCCUUCGGGUUGUAAAAAUCUUUUUUACGGGAUGAAAAUGACAGUACCGUAAGAAUAAGGUCCGGCUAAAUACGUGCCAGUAGCCGCGGUAAUACGUAUGGACCGAGCGUUGUCCGGAAUCAUUGGGCGUAAAGGGUACGUAGGCGGCCUAGUAAGUUAGAAGUGAAAUAAUAUAGCUCAAAUAUAUAAAGCUUUUAAAACUGCUAGGCUUGAGAGAUGGAAGGGAAAGUGGAGUUCCUAGUGUAGCGCUGAAAUACGCAGAUAUUAGACGGAGUACCGGUGGCGAAGGCGACUUUCUGGUCAUCAUCUGACGCUGAGAUACGAGAGCGUGGGUAGCAAGCAGG
rnacentral:rRNA from 1 species